AGAGUUUGAUCAUGGCUCAGAACGAACGCUGGCGGCAUGCCUAACACAUGCAAGUCGAACGAGACCUUCGGGUCUAGUGGCGCACGGGUGCGUAACGCGUGGGAAUCUGCCCUUGGGUGCGGAAUAACUCGGAGAAAUCCGUGCUAAUACCGCAUAAUGUCGUAAGACCAAAGAUUUAUCGCCCAAGGAUGAGCCCGCGUAGGAUUAGCUUGUUGGUGAGGUAAAAGCUCACCAAGGCGACGAUCCUUAGCUGGUCUGAGAGGAUGAUCAGCCACACUGGGACUGAGACACGGCCCAGACUCCUACGGGAGGCAGCAGUGGGGAAUAUUGGACAAUGGGCGAAAGCCUGAUCCAGCAAUGCCGCGUGAGUGAUGAAGGCCUUAGGGUUGUAAAGCUCUUUUACCCGGGAUGAUAAUGACAGUACCGGAGAAUAGUCC
rnacentral:rRNA from 1 species